rnacentral:lncRNA from 1 species
CGACUCCAGCUGCUUUGCUCUGAGCCACCCUUCUCGCGACAGAGUUGUCUGGCCGGCGCUGAGCGACAGAAACCUGGCCACCACGAGCAGCUGGUGCAGGUCGUCGGCGGUGAUGCUCUGAGGGUCGUUCUUGCGCCUUUCCACGAAGUCGUCUUCCACUGCCUUGGUCACGUCGUCGGAGAUGCUGUAAUCCAGGAACCUCAGCAGGGUCAGGUAGACGCGGAACCUGCUGAGCGCCGAGGGCAGCAGGCCGGCGAGCAGGCUGCUCAUGUGCUCCUCCACGUUGGGUGGGACGAGCUGGGGCUGCAAGUGGACCUGGCAGUCGGCCGGGAGGAGGGAGCGCCCUUCCGAGGUGAUGACAACGUUGAUGUUGCAAGGGAACUCCAUCUGGUGGUAGCUGAAGUCGUAAUCCACCUUCUGCCAGGUGUUGCUGGGCAGCUGCAGGAGUCCACUGACCAAGCGAUUGGCCGCGUAGUCUUUGUGGGGGAUGAACUUCAAAUGGUUCAUGUUCUCUAUCGUCAUCUGUAGGCGAAAAGACGCUGGAACAAGGUGUUGAAUAAUUCGAUAUAAGUGUUCUAUGAAGGUGCUGUUCCGUGGGCAACCACUCAGGUUAACUGCAAAUUUUCCUAGAGGAAGAACAUCUCUUCUUGUAUAUACUGUAGAGAUGAGGUGCAAUAUAAGGUAUUCCGCAGCCAGACUAUCUCCCAAGAGGGCGUGAGUGAGGAAUCCAAGCAGUUCUGCUCUGACUGGAGACAGUUCAGACAGAAACAUGGAUUCUUUUUAACUAGAAUGAUUUUUAAAAUUUUACAUGGAAAAAAAUCAAAGAAAUAAGAGCACUUGGGGAAACAUAUUGUGAGAAACAGCCUCACCCAUCCACUGAAAAUAUGGACGCAGACACAGAAAGUUCAGGAAAAGAGGUUUUCAAAUGAUCUUGUCAGAUUGGGUGACUGGUGGAACAGCCUGACUUGGUGGUGUGCCUGGUGGGACAACAUACCCAGGGGUUUCAAACAAGCAGUUUAUUUUCUAGCAGGAAGCCCCCUCCCAUUUCCCCAUUGGCCAAGUACUAUGGGUUUGUC